rnacentral:misc_RNA from 1 species
AACGCACAUUGCGCCCCGUGGUAUUCCGCGGGGCAUGCCUGUUCGAGCGUCAUUUCAACCCAUCAAGCUUCAGCUUGGUCUUGGGGCCUGCGGUUUCGCAGCCUCUAAACUCAGUGGCGGUGCUAUUGAGCUCUGAGCGUAGUAAUUCUUCUCGCUAUAGGGUCUUCGUAGUUACUUGCCAGUAACCCCCAAUUUUUAUCAGGUUGACCUCGGAUCAGGUAGGGAUACCCGCUGAACUUAA